rnacentral:tRNA from 1 species
GCGCCAGUAGUCUAGCGGUAGGACACAACCCUGCCACGGUUGAGACCCGGGUUCGAAUCCCGGCUGGCGCA